GAAGCGGCAACAGCUCAGAUUUGGAAUCUGGCCCCCAGGGCCCGAGUUGUAAUCUGGAGAGGAUGCUUCUGGCGCGGCGCCUUCCGAGUUCCCUGGAACGGGACGCCGGAGAGGGUGAGAGCCCCGUACGGUCGGACGCCCAGCCUUUGUGAAGCUCCUUCGACGAGUCGAGUAGUUUGGGAAUGCUGCUCAAAAUGGGAGGUAAAUUUCUUCUAAAGCUAAAUACCGGCCAGAGACCGAUAGCGCACAAGUAGAGUGAUCGAAAAGAUGAAAAAGCACUUUGAAAAGAGGGUUAAACAGUACGUGAAAAUUUGUUAAAAGGGAAGCGCCCGUGGCCAGACUUGCGCCCCGCGGACCACCCGGCGUUCUCGCCGGUGCACUCCGCGAGGCGCAGGCCAGCAUCGGUCUCCCAGGGGGACAAAGGCUGCGGGACGUAGCUCCUACGGGAGUGUUAUAGCCCGCGGCUGCCAUGCCCCUGGGGGGACCGAGGACCGCGCUUCGGCAAGUG
rnacentral:rRNA from 1 species